GCUUUGGGCGGCCUACAAUGCAAGUCGAGCGGUAGCACAGAGAGCUUGCUCUCGGGUGACGAGCGGCGGACGGGUGAGUAAUGUCUGGGAAACUGCCUGAUGGAGGGGGAUAACUACUGGAAACGGUAGCUAAUACCGCAUAACGUCGCAAGACCAAAGUGGGGGACCUUCGGGCCUCAUGCCAUCAGAUGUGCCCAGAUGGGAUUAGCUGGUAGGUGGGGUAACGGCUCACCUAGGCGACGAUCCCUAGCUGGUCUGAGAGGAUGACCAGCCACACUGGAACUGAGACACGGUCCAGACUCCUACGGGAGGCAGCAGUGGGGAAUAUUGCACAAUGGGCGCAAGCCUGAUGCAGCCAUGCCGCGUGUGUGAAGAAGGCCUUCGGGUUGUAAAGCACUUUCAGCGGGGAGGAAGGCGGUGAGGUUAAUAACCUCAUCGAUUGACGUUACCCGCAGAAGAAGCACCGGCUAACUCCGUGCCAGCAGCCGCGGUAAUACGGAGGGUGCAAGCGUUAAUCGGAAUUACUGGGCGUAAAGCGCACGCAGGCGGUCUGUCAAGUCGGAUGUGAAAUCCCCGGGCUCAACCUGGGAACUGCAUUCGAAACUGGCAGGCUAGAGUCUUGUAGAGGGGGGUAGAAUUCCAGGUGUAGCGGUGAAAUGCGUAGAGAUCUGGAGGAAUACCGGUGGCGAAGGCGGCCCCCUGGACAAAGACUGACGCUCAGGUGCGAAAGCGUGGGGAGCAAACAGGAUUAGAUACCCUGGUAGUCCACGCUGUAAACGAUGUCGAUUUGGAGGUUGUGCCCUUGAGGCGUGGCUUCCGGAGCUAACGCGUUAAAUCGACCGCCUGGGGAGUACGGCCGCAAGGUUAAAACUCAAAUGAAUUGACGGGGGCCCGCACAAGCGGUGGAGCAUGUGGUUUAAUUCGAUGCAACGCGAAGAACCUUACCUGGUCUUGACAUCCACAGAACUUUCCAGAGAUGGAUUGGUGCCUUCGGGAACUGUGAGACAGGUGCUGCAUGGCUGUCGUCAGCUCGUGUUGUGAAAUGUUGGGUUAAGUCCCGCAACGAGCGCAACCCUUAUCCUUUGUUGCCAGCGGUUAGGCCGGGAACUCAAAGGAGACUGCCAGUGAUAAACUGGAGGAAGGUGGGGAUGACGUCAAGUCAUCAUGGCCCUUACGACCAGGGCUACACACGUGCUACAAUGGCAUAUACAAAGAGAAGCGACCUCGCGAGAGCAAGCGGACCUCAUAAAGUAUGUCGUAGUCCGGAUUGGAGUCUGCAACUCGACUCCAUGAAGUCGGAAUCGCUAGUAAUCGUAGAUCAGAAUGCUACGGUGAAUACGUUCCCGGGCCUUGUACACACCGCCCGUCACACCAUGGGAGUGGGUUGCAAAAGAAGUAGGUAGCUUAACCUUCGGGAGGGCGCUUACCACUUUGAAUCACGG
rnacentral:rRNA from 1 species